rnacentral:rRNA from 1 species
UUUGGAGGGGGCAAGUCUGGUGCCAGCAGCCGCGGUAAUUCCAGCUCCAAUAGCGUAUAUUAAAGUUGUUGCAGUUAAAAAGCUCGUAGUUGAAUUUCGGGGUUCCACCGUUGGUCGGGCUAWUGUYUGUACUGGCGUGUGGAAUUUCUACCUUCUGGGGAACUAUCAUGUUAUUAAUUUAGCGUGGUAGGAAACCAGGACCUUUACCUUGAAAAAAUUAGAGUGUUCAAAGCAGGCUUAUGUCUGAAUACAUUAGCAUGGAAUAAUAAAAUAGGACGGUGGUCCUGUUUUGUUGGUUUCURAAUCACCGUMAUGAUUAAUAGGGAWAGUUGGGGGCAUUAGUAUUCAAUUGUCAGAGGUGAAAUUCUUGGAUUUAUUGAAGACUAACUACUGCGAAAGCAUUUGCCAAGGAUGUUUUCAUUAAUCAAGAACGAAAGUUAGGGGAUCGAAGACGAUCAGAUACCGUCGUAGUCUUAACCAYMAACUAUGCCGACUAGGAUCGACGAGMCGCACCGACGRCMURACCURWAGGACCAUUCUGUCWAAUUAACUAAGAUC